ensembl:lncRNA
ACACUACCUACUCUAUGUUCAAAGACACCCAAACAUCUUGCUCCGCUGGACAAUAUAUAUAAGGAUGGCUCUGCAUGUUCAAGUCUUGAGCACCCACUUCUCUUAAAACAAAGUAGCAUCUUGCCCAUCUCAUCACAGUCCAGACGAAGAGUGGAAAGGAUCUUAGAGAAGUCACUCAAUCUGGAACUGGGGACCUAUUUGGAUUUUCAGGAUUUAGGGAGUUCUGUAAUACACAACACUACAAAUGAUAAUGUCAUUUCAGACAAGAAAGGCUACACAUCUACCAAAUCAUUGACUGUUAGGAAAGUCGUCAAGAAUGAAAUAAGAUGCAAGUCUUUCAAAACAACAGAAAACUCUGAUUUUCAGAGAAAGUCUCCAAGUAUGAACUGCUGCACUUUCUCUGAAGGACCUGAAAACAUAACCAGACAAAUACCUACAGUCAGGGAAUCCUGUUCUGUUGCAUGUGAGAAACAACUCACUGCUCUAGAUACUGGUGUAUUAGAAAAAUCAUCACAUGAGAAGAAAAAACCAAUUAAGAUGAUCAAGAAAAAUCCCAGUACAGGCAAAACAUCUAUUCAGACAAAUCAGUCAUUCAAUGUUCUGGCACACAGAAAACAAAGUACUGUUAAAACCACCAAUUCACUCAAAGCAGCAACUCAGAGAAAGUAAACCCACCAGCAUAGUUAUUGCAGGAGAGACGACUAACAAAUAUUUGCCAAGAGCACCUAUAAUGGCUUGUAAAAAACUGCAACAAGGUUGGUCUCUGAACCUUUUCAACACAUGAAGUUGAGUGAUGACAAAGUAAGCAAUUACAGUCAAAACCAACUUCACAGAGAUCUGAGAAGUGCAAGAGCAUCCAAAAAGCCAGCAACAGGACCAAUACAGUGAGCAAGGUCUGUCGUGGAUUAUUUCACUUACAAAGAAAUGGUUCUGAAGCUCAGUCAGGGAGAUGAAGGUCCAGCAAUCUACGAAAUGUUUGCAACUCCAGUUUAUGAGAAUCUUAGCGCAGACAGUUCUGCAGAGAGAACCAGACAAGUUAAAAGACAGAUCAAUGGAAAAAUAAGGGGCCAAAAAAAGGGGGUUAACCAAAGGAAACAAGCUCAAUCCAAGAGAUCCAGUCGAGCUAAAUGCAGGCAGCUCAAGCGGAGGGAUAAUGUUACCAAAGGGAUAAAGAAACGCCCACCUUCUCCAGAGAAUAAAUGCCAUGUCCUUGUAAUCUCUGCUUGUGGAACUGUCCAGCAGAGCACAUCUGAAAUGCACAUCAAGGGAGAUGGUAGAGAAAUUUCAAGUGCAGAAAGACAAUAUACUUCCAUACUAUCAGUGACUGAGGAAGUACUUUCCAACAUUGUAUCCAAAACAAGUCUCAUAAAGGAAAUCAUAGUUCAAGAACAAACUCUGAUUAAUGCAAGUCCCAAAAGUGAACCUGAAAUAUCAUAUGCGAUCAAAUUGCCAUCACAGCCCCUUAUCAACACCUGGACAAGUGACGGAACGGCAUCACCUUUGUACCAGAGGCUUUUAGAGGAGGUUGGUGAUGGACCUCUCACAGAUGACCUGCUGAGGUCUUUGGCAGAGGAGUUGAUCUCACUCAAGAGAAGAGACGUUGAAACAUUCAAGACUGAAAAGGAAGAUAGCACAGAGUUCAAACAUAACUCGCCUUCAAAAUGGUGUGUCCUCAGGUGAAAUGCAUUACUCUAACGGAUCUUGCUUAGAUGAUGCUAUCACAUGGACAAAAGGAGAGGUUCUGGGUAAAGGAGCUUAUGGAACGGUAGGUAUUUAAAUGCAGUCAUUUUAAAGCACCCUUCUUAGCUAUAGUAUAAACAAUCAUGAUUUUCAAAAUGUUCUCCAAGCAUAAUCAAUUACAAAGCUAUUUCUAUUCAUAGGUGUAUUGUGGACUAACCAGUCAAGGUCAGCUGAUUGCAGUAAAACAGGUGGCACUGAAUGCUUCAACUUCAGAGAUGGCAGAAAAAGAAGAAGAAAAGAGAAGUGGAUCUUCUUAAGACCCUUCAUCACACUAACAUUGUUGGUUUCUUGGGCUCAGCUCUCUGUGAGAAUGCUGUAAGCAUCUUCAUGGAGUACAUGUUCCAGCUGGGUCCAUCUCAAACAUCCUGAGCCGGUUCGGACCCUUGCCAGAGAAGGUCUUCAUUCUGUACACAUGACAAAUUCUGGAAGGUGUUGCCUAUCUUCAUGCUAACAGGGUCAUCCAUAGAGAUCUGAAGGGGAACAACAUUAUGCUUAUGCCCAACGGAGCUCAUUGGGGCUCAAAAGGGCUUAAUGCCAUCUCUGUCUGAUGACUUCUCUACAAAUGCACAGGGCUUUGUCAAGGCUUGCCUAACCAGGUAAUUUGCUUUUACUCAAAAAUGAAAUUGCUCUGGUUAUUUUGUGCCAAGGAGUUUUUUUUAUAUUUUUGUAAAAUCUCCAGAUUAUUAUCUUAGGUGUUUUGUAACAGUGGAACAAUUUUCCUCUUUGCAGAGAUCCAAAGCAACGACCUUCAGUAGAGGAACUGUUAAGACAUCCAUUCAUCUUUUAUCACAGCCAAGCCUGCAGUAGGCCAAUGAACUGAAAACUUGAUACACCAAAUCAAAAAGUGACUUUUAAAAACCAUGAUACAAAGCAAACUGCCAUUGUGAUCCAACAUAAUUUAACAUGGAGAAAAAUCUAAUUCAUAAAAUAAUAGUGAAGAUCUGUAAAUAGUUAUUUGACAAAUGUGCCAAUAAGUUCUUAACACAAUAAAUGAUCACAUAAAGACUGAGGUUAAGGUAGU